UACAGAGGUUCCAAGCGUUGUUCGGAUUCACUGGGCGUAAAGGGUGCGUAGGCGGUCGGGUAAGUCUGAUGUGAAAUCUCACAGCUUAACUGUGAAACUGCAUUGGAUACUAUUCGGCUUGAGAGUUGGAGGGGGGACUGGAAUUCUCGGUGUAGCAGUGAAAUGCGUAGAUAUCGAGAGGAACACCGGUGGCGAAGGCGGGUCUCUGGGCCGAUACUGACGCUGAGGAGCGAAAGCGUGGGGAGCGAACAGG
rnacentral:rRNA from 1 species